rnacentral:misc_RNA from 1 species
UGAAGCUCAGAUAUUCCCUAAAAUGGAUUUAACAUAAUCACUAGCAAAUGUGCAUGGAAUUUUUAUAAUGGGCAUCUCUUACCCUUGUGCUUUCAUGCAGGCCAUCAUCUGGUCGGAUCCUUGAGGCAUUGCAUAUUGAUCCAGCAUCUGGCGUGACGCUUGAUAAAGAAAAGAGCAGCAGAGCAGUAAAACCAUCAGUAAGUACGUCAUCAGCACUUGCAAAGUUAACGAAGGCAAGUUCUUCCGGAGGGCCUUUAAAGCAGGGGGAAAAGAAAGAAACUCCACAGGAACGACUUAAGAGGAUCAUGAGUCAACAGCUUAAUAAACAAAUUAAGAAAGAUACAGCUGCAGAAAUGGCUAAAAAGAGG